AGCGGCGGACGGGUGAGUAAUGCUUGGGAAUAUGCCUUAUGGUGGGGGACAACAGUUGGAAACGACUGCUAAUACCGCAUAACGUCUACGGACCAAAGGAGGGGAUUCUUCGGAACCUCGCCAUUUGAUUAGCCCAAGUGAGAUUAGCUAGUAGGUGAGGUAAGAGCUCACCUAGGCGACGAUCUCUAGCUGGCUUGAGAGGAUGAUCAGCCACACUGGGACUGAGACACGGCCCAGACUCCUACGGGAGGCAGCAGUGGGGAAUAUUGCACAAUGGGGGAAACCCUGAUGCAGCCAUGCCGCGUGUGUGAAGAAGGCCUUCGGGUUGUAAAGCACUUUCAGUUGUGAGGAAAGGGGUGUAGUUAAUAACUGCAUUCUGUGACGUUAACAACAGAAGAAGCACCGGCUAACUUCGUGCCGGCAGCCGCGGUAAUACGAGGGGUGCAAGCGUUAAUCGGAAUUACUGGGCGUAAAGCGUUCGUAGGCGGUUAUUUAAGCAAGAUGUGAAAGCCCAGGGCUCAACCUUGGAACUGCAUUUUGAACUGGGUAACUAGAGUACUGUAGAGGGUGGUGGAAUUUCCAGUGUAGCGGUGAAAUGCGUAGAGAUUGGAAGGAACAUCAGUGGCGACGCGUAUCUGGACAGAUACUGACGCUGAGACCGAAGCCGUGGGGAGCAAACAGGAUUAGAUACCCUUGG
rnacentral:rRNA from 1 species